AGUUCCUGUCAAGCAGAAAGCCCACUAAGGCAAAACAAAAAAGCCCAAAGUAAUCCGGCCGUCUGCGACUCGCAAGCCGCCGCCCCCCGGCGCGGCGCUCUCUGUCUAUCGUUCUCCUUCCUCCUCUUGGCUCCUGGUCGUACUGCUUCGAACCCUGCAGCACCGCAGGCCGCUGGAGCAUCUUAUCAAGAAGGGACCUGGCAGUGGAGCAUCAGAUUGGAGCAUGUUGUCGUCCUCUUGCCCAUGGCAGCGCUACUGUUGGAGGUGGACAAUCGAGCUCCCGGGCAUGGCGUGGGAGCGGCCGCAAGGUCCGGUCGGCACUCGGCACACGCACACAGAACAGAAGCAAGUUAAAGCUCGGCGGCCGUCAGCCAGCAUGCAGUACACGGCCAAGACAGGUCCACUUUAAGCCAGAUCCAACUCCAAUCUCUAGCAAGGCAGCAACAGAAGAGAUAUGGUUGCAGAGAUAUGGUGCUUUGUAUUUGUUGGCAGCUUCUUCAAUUACUAUUGUAAUGUCCAUGAACUGAAUGAUGCAGCAGCCUGAAUAGCUCUGGAGUCUGGAUGCUAUUGGUUCUAAAUGAUAGCUUGAGCUGAAUAAUCUGAUAGCAUGAAUAGUUGUGGCAAGUAGUGCUUGACUGAAUGAUAUCGUUAGGUGCAGCAGAACCAAACAUGUUGUUGGUCUGCUUUUUCGUUUACUUUUUUCUUCCUACCGCAACUAAGUCAUUGGUUGUAUUGUUGCGAGUAUGAAUUGUUAUUUAAGAUAAUGGAACAUCGGAAGCAAUACAUACGGAAUAAGGUUCAGAAAAGGAAUAAGGAUCAUUUGUACAAUUUCAGAGAAACACACUUGAAUAAGGUUCAUGCUGCAAACAAUAAUAUUUUGGUUCAGAUUCA